GAGGGAGUUGAGUUGUGUUGUGGCUCAUUCCAGGGAGCUUGCUUGUACUGUAGUCUAAUAUAGUACUCCGAUAAUUACAGGAUGAGCCAAAGCUUUGCUGCUUGUUCUGUUCGGUUUCUUUCUUCUUGACAGCUGAGAGAGAGAGACCCACUUGAAUCAGGCGACAAAGUUUUGAUUGGGAGGAUGUGUUUUCCGUUGGUUGGGCAGCAGCAAUACAAAGGAGGAAAGGAGUUGCGUUUCUGC